rnacentral:rRNA from 1 species
GACGAACGCUGGCGGCGUGCUUAACACAUGCAAGUCGAACGAAGAGGCGAACGGGUGGGUAACGCGUAAUCAACCUGCCCUUCAGAGGGGGACAACAGGAGGAAACGACUACUAAUACCGCAUACUGAAGGAGGGGAUUGCGUCUGAUUAGCUAGUGGGGGGGGUAACGGCCCACCAAGGCGAUGAUCAGUAGCCGGUCUGAGAGGAUGAACGGCCACAUUGGUACUGAGACACGGCCCAGACUCCUACGGGAGGCAGCAGUUGGGAAUCUUCCGCAAUGGACGAAAGUCUGACGGAGCAACGCCGCGUGAGUGAUGACGGCCUUCGGGUUGUAAAGCUCUGUUAAUCGGGACGCGGUACCGGAAUAGAAAGCCACGGCUAACUACGUGCCAGCAGCCGCGGUAAUUC